rnacentral:rRNA from 1 species
CCUACGGGAGGCAGCAGUGAGGAAUAUUGGUCAAUGGCCGUAAGGCUGAACCAGCCAAGUCGCGUGAAGGAAGAAGGAUCUAUGGUUUGUAAACUUCUUUUAUAGGGGAAUAAAGGUAUCCACGUGUGGAUAUUUGCAUGUACCCUAUGAAUAAGCAUCGGCUAACGCCGUGCCAGCAGCCGCGGUAAUACGGAGGAUGCGAGCGUUAUCCGGAUUUAUUGGGUUUAAAGGGUGCGUAGGUUGUUUUUUAAGUCAGCGGUGAAAGUUUGUGGCCCAACCAUAAAAUUGCCGUUGAAACUGGAAGACUUGAGUGUGUUUGAGGUAGGCGGAAUGCGUGGUGUAGCGGUGAAAUGCAUAGAUAUCACGCAGAACUCCGAUUGCGAAGGCAGCUUACUAAGCCAUAACUGACACUGAAGCACGAAAGUGUGGGUAUCAAACAGGAUUAGAUACCCCUGUAGUC